GAAAAUUUAGACAAUUACUUUUAUAUAAAAUUGAUAAGUAAAAGUUUUUAAAUAGUUUAAUAAUUUUGACUAAAUUAUUAUUUAACGGCUCUUAGUUAUGAACUUCAUAUAAAAUUAACUAUAUAUACUUAAAUUUCCACCACAUAUAAAUUAACUGAAAAAAAAAAAAAAACCAGAAGAACAGGAAAAGAAAAGAAAGAAGAGAAUCACAAAAUUGACAAUUAUUAUUACAUGGGAUUUAAUUCAUGAGAAGCAACCAGGGUCUUGGAAAUUUCAUAUAUAAGCCUUGCCUCAAAAGCAUCACCAGAAAAACGCAUAGAAAAUUGACGAGGCUUUGGGAUCCUUUUCCCACCAAACACAACAAUAUUAUUGUGAGUGUUCAAUGAUCCUAUGUUGCCGGCUAACCUUAACAUGAAGUUCAUAUAAGCAUUCUUAAGCUUAAUCAACAUCUUCAAAGGUGAUCUAAUUACCCAUCUAACCUUCGGAAGUCUUCUUAUCCUCCAAUACUUUCUAGGCCUUCUUUUCAACCACCUUAUGACCUUUGUUUUCCUUCCCCCGCUGCCAGCGCUGCCGCGUUGGUAGCGGCGCCUCCUCAAGUAGCUCUUGAUGCCGCAGUAAUAAGUUGGGUUAGAUGGCAAUAGUGACUCAGUUUCCAUGUGUGUUUGUGAAGUGAAUAAGGGAAAGAAGUGAAGUGAAGUGAAGUGAAUAUAUAUAGACUAGUUAGCUAUGAUUCACUGACACGGGACACGACACGAUACGGGACAUGCCGACACGCGAAUUUUAAAAUCUUAUAUGAUACGGGGACACGCAUACAUAUAAAAUAUAAAGUAGUUUUUAAAAAAACCGUAAACGGGGACAUGCAUACAUAUAAAAUAUAAAGUAUUUUUUAGAUAAACCGUAAUAAUAUUUUAAUAUUUUAUUGAUAUUAAAAUAUAAAUUAAUUUUUUAAAUUAUUUUUAAUGUCUUAUUUUAAUUAUAUCAAGUAUUUAAAAUAUUUUUUGUUUUAAUAAAUAAUAAUAUAUAUUAUAUCUAAAUUUAUUUUAAGAAUAUAUAUUAAUAAUAAAACAUGACACGCUGACACGUGAUGGUUUUUAGGUGUUUUCAAGUGUGUUUAGAGAAAAAUUUUUUAUUUUUAUUGAGACACGGUUUUAAUAUAGCAAACACGCGUGUCGGACGAGUGUCAGUGAGUAUCGUGUCCGAAAUGUGUCUGACACGCAGACAUGACAACUCAGCAAAGUGUCCGUUCUUCGUAGCUAGUUAGUGUUUAGAUAUUAGGCAUCGUUGUAUAAAUAAUAAUAGAGAAUUUAAUUUAAGAGAUUAAUUUUAUAAAGUAGUUAAUUAUGUGUAUGUGUGAAUAAACAUUACCAACAUUAUGUUGUCCAUAUAUGUAUUUCUGAAAUAUUCUCUCCCUUUGUCUACCAAUAAUAUUGUGAUGAGUGUAUUAUUUGAUCUUGACCAAAUUGUUAACCUCUUCUAAAUUUUAUUAUUUGAAAAUCGGUUUAUCUAAUAUAAUUUUAGUUUUCCACUAAAGAUAUAUGAAUGAUUAUACAUCUCAUAAAAUUUAUAAAGAUUAAGUUUGGGUUGAAAGACAAUUUUUUUUAUUCCAAUCAAAUAAUAGAAAAUGAAUUUUUUUGGUCGAAAAAUAAAGAAAAUAAAAGAAUUUUAUUUUAUUUUAAUUUUCGGUGAAGAACUAAUUAACAUGGAUGGGUAAAGAUGAACCGGACAACGAAUCGUCCUUGGCAUAUCUCCUACUUUAGAGUUUAGACAACCUAUUAUACAUUAAUUUAAUUUUUUGUGUCCGUAAGCUAAGCACGAAUGAAGAUUUUUUUUUUUUGAUUUACAUGUAAUUUAAAUAAUUAGCUUUUAAAAAGUUUAAGGCUUGAAAAUGUUGUUAUGGGGUCCUCAGCCACAAUAUAGAGAUUUUGUUGUCUAGACACAGACCCUGUUCCUCGUAUUUGGGCACAUUAAAAGACCAACACAGUAGAAAGGACCAUAAUACAAAAUCAUAACAUCCUUAAUUAUUGUAAUGGUUUAGUUUGUUAUAAGGUUUAUAGUUUUUGAUAUACUUUAUACAAAAUAUUAGGAUAAAAACUUACGUACAGUUAUUUUCAUAUGAAAUUUUUAGUCGAAAACCGUUAAAUAAUAGUUUAGUCAAAGAUAUCAAAUUAUCUUACAAUUUUAUAUAAAAAUAACUUCAGGUAAAUUUUCUCCAAAUAUUAUAUACUUUCAUGUAAAGUUUCCUGCACUUCCAUGGCGGCCACCGUGAUCGACAUAACAUGGUGGCGCAAAGGAUUGGAGGAGUAAUUAAGGAAAGAAGAUCGAUGUGUUGUGUUGGCCAAAUUUUGCUGCAAAAAAAUUGUAGAUAAAAGAAGAUUGCAUGAGGAAAUAAUGUAUUAUCGCGUCUAAAAUCAUACCAAAUCUUAAUAAGAUAUAUUUUGAAUCAUACUAAAUCUCAAUCAAAUAAUUCUAUAUGUAGUUUCCUAUAAUAUAUUGUGGAUAUAAUGUUUUAUCCAUUAUUCCUCAAAUAAUAUUUGUUACUUGUUGUCUAAGUUAUUAAGAUAAAAUACAUACAUAUUCUCUAUACUACUAAUAAUAUGUCAAGAAGAUUAGUUUUAAUCUACUGUAAAAUACGUGAAUUAAGGAAUAACUUGAAUUUAACUUCCUAGAAUUUAAUUAAGAUAAUUUCGAUUAUUAUCUCAUUUUUGAUGAGUUGUGAUCUCUAUACAUACAUAUCCAUAACAAAAAAAAAAGAAUGUAUCUCAAAUUAAUAAUAAGAUUUUGGUAUACGAUUUAUACACAUCAAUAUUUUCAUUAUAAAUAGCAGUAUUAGGCGUGGUAAUUUUGUCACACUUGGUCAACAAUAUUCUUAAUCUUUAUUUCUACUAAUAAUAAGUCAAUAAUAAUACAAUGGCCAACAAAAACUGCUCACUUCACUUAGCUCUUAUCGUGGCUUGCAUGGUCACCAUGACAGCGACGGUAGCCGAAAUGCGCAUGAUGACGAAGACUAUACCUUGGUCAUCAUGCAAUGGGACGAUAGGGGAGUGCAUAGAAGCAAAGAAGAAAUUUGAGAUGGAUUCAGAGAGCAACAUGAAGAUAUUUGAAUCAAAGAACAAGGUGAUAGGAAACGGUGCAAUAGGGAGGAAUGGAAUUCCAUGCUCGAAGAAAGAUAAUACCACCAAGAAUUGUAGACCGGGUACUCCUGCCAACCGAUACAACCGUGGCUGCAGUCCCAUUACUCGAUGCAGGGGUGGUGGUGGUGGCGGCGGCGGUAGCCCCCCUCAUGGUUAAAUUAUUCAUCAUUAUCUUCUUCUUCUUAAUUAUUUGUUUAGCUAUCUAGUUAGGUUUAUGGUUGUUCUUUGUAUAUUCACUUUGAUUAUUAUAGGACCCAUUAUUAACGGCUAUUAGUAGUAGUUUAUUUCAUAUAAUAGUAGUGUUAUGAUUUGGCUUGUUUCGAUUUAGUUUAAUAUUCUAUGUAAAUAUAAAAAUUUUAAUAAAAUAAAAGAAGAAGAAGAGCAUCUUAAUUUAGCUUGUUUUCUAUGUUACCAUUUAGUCUCUCUUACCUUACUGUUAUUGUUAUUUUUUUUAGCUUUUGUCUUCGAUUACUUAUCCAUAGAAAAAUUUCUAUUAAUAAAAAUUAGUAUAUUAUUGUUUUCGUUAAUUUGUUUCAGUCAAUAUGUAUUAUGUAGUUUUUGUUUAAACGCUUGGACGUUAGGUUACUAUUGUUAAAUAUUUAUCUUUCUCAGCCUCCUUUUUAUUUUCUCUAUAUAAAAAAAUUAGUGAUACUCCAAUAAAGAUUUUACAAUUAUUCUAGUGAUAUAAUAAAAAAUUAGUUAGUAUUAGUUUAAAUAUUAAUCAAAUAUAAGAAAAAAACAUGUAAAUAUGUAAUAUGUAUUCUAAAAAUUUAAAUAAAUUAUAAUAGAAUUAAUAACCACAACAAAUAUAAAAUAAAAAAAUAAAAAGAACUCUCCCAUAUUAGGCCCAAAUUAUAGCCCAUGGAUACAAUAGCUAAUUAUAGCCCAUGGCUUCAUAUUGUAAAACAAAACAUAGAAAAAAAACUUAGAAAUUGAAAAACAUAGGAAGUAAUUAAAACUUGGAAUCAAGUGUUAUUCAUUUUACGUGAACUUAAUUUUAUGUUAAAUUGAUAGUUAAAAUUUUUUAAAUAAUUUAAUAUAUUUGAUUUAAUUAUUAUUUAAUAAUUUUUAAUUAUUAAUUUUAUGUAAAAAUUUUUAUACUUAAAUUUCUUUUGUAUAUAAAUUAAACUGAAAAAAAAAAGGAAAGGAAAGAAGAGAAUCACAAAAUUAACCAUUAUUAUAUGGGAUUUAAUUCAUGAGAAGCAACCAAGGUCUUGGAAAUUUCAUAUAUAAGCCU
rnacentral:lncRNA from 1 species